rnacentral:lncRNA from 1 species
GGAGAUACCCUGCGCGCCUCUCCGUUCGAGGUAAUAAUAUAAUGGAGUUUACCGUGCCCCUCUAAUAGGUUGGUCCACUGAACCCCCUCUGCAGUAAAUAAUUAAUAUAUAAUCCACCAAUCAAUAAAAUUCAUUCUAGCAGGACAUGGCAAUUUAUCGUAACCUAGCCUCUCAAGGCUGAAUACACAGUAUAAAUAAUUCUAACACCAAAAUCAAUUUAGCCAUUCAUGCUCAUUUAUUGUCAUAAGCCAUUCAAUUUAAAACCAUAAAUUUACAACACAAGCAGGAAGUCUCUAAUUACUCUAUUUUCAAAACCAGUAUUCGAUUUUCCAGAAAAUUUAUAAAAUUACAAUUUC